AACGAACGCUGGCGGCAGGCCUAACACAUGCAAGUCGAGCGCCCUUUCGGGGGAGCGGCGGACGGGUGAGUAACGCGUGGGAAUAUGCCCUUCUCUACGGAAUAGCCUCGGGAAACUGAGAGUAAUACCGUAUACGCCCUGUGGGGGAAAGAUUUAUCGGGGAAGGAUUAGCCCGCGUUGGAUUAGGUAGGUGGUGGGGUAAUGGCCUACCAAGCCGACGAUCCAUAGCUGGUUUGAGAGGAUGAUCAGCCACACUGGGACUGAGACACGGCCCAGACUCCUACGGGAGGGAGCAGUGGGGAAUCUUAGACAAUGGGGGCAACCCUGAUCUAGCCAUGCCGCGUGAGUGAUGAAGGCCUUAGGGUUGUAAAGCUCUUUCAGCUGGGAAGAUAAUGACGGUACCAGCAGAAGAAGCCCCGGCUAACUCCGUG
rnacentral:rRNA from 1 species